UCGUGAAUCGUUAGGCGUGAAGUUCGUUUGAUGAAUGAACGGACAUGGAUGAAAAAUUUGUUCGUUUAGUUAAUGAACAAACAUGAACAGAAGUCACGUUCGUUCAUUUAUGUUCGUGACAUUCGUUAACAUGUUCGAUAGUUCAUUAGUAUUCUUAAUUUUUAUAUUUUAUUUAAAUAGUUCAAAACAUUGUUAUCAAUAGCGAAGAUAGUGUUUAAAGUUAGAAAUUCACAAGAUGAGAUAGCUGCAACACCAGGUAUACAAAUUCGAAGAUACCACCAACCGGACCGUGUUGCAUUAUGUUGGUCCUUUGAAGUUUCGGUUACAGAAUGAAGGUAACACUCCCAGAAACAUUCUAGAGGAAGUUGUUUGGAACAAGGACACAGAGGUUGCGCAGGCCAGUGCUUUUUUAAUCUAGAGCGCGUGCAAUACUGUUUUGACCAGUUACUCAACCCGCCUGGAUGAGAUUCAAUUGGACCGGGAAGUAGUUUGUGCUGAUUGAUUUUUUUUCUCAGUUGGAUAACUAGAUAAGUUGGCUACCAGUGUUCAACACCUUUUUAGGAUUUGCUGAAAGUGUCAUCAUCUCAUCAGGUCAUCAGGUCACUCACUUGGUGGGCCUGAAAGCAAGAUAUGUUGUUGCUAAACUCUACAAUCUAUACAUACGAUUGCACAAAAUCAAUUAUACAUGCCAAGGAUAUAGAAAGAUAUGUAAGGCCAAAGCAUGGAUGAUGCAGUUGCAUGAUGUAUAUCAUUUGCAGAGAAAAAGGAAAAGACUGAAACACAACACACUGAUGCUUGAUAUAAAGGGACCAUAUGAUGGCAUCUAAAAGGAUGCUUGAUAUAAAGGGACAUUGAUGCGUGAGAGACAAGAGACAUUUAUGUCUGACAACUUAAUAACGUAAGACAAAAGACAUUUUGUUAGUACUUUUCAUUAUAUUAUUAAGGUAUCAAAAUGUUUAGUUAGUG